GUUAAUCACCAUUCCUGGGUACUCGAGAGGUAGAAGCUUCAUUGAUCACAUCUGGAUGUAAAGCUCUCCAAAUCCUCUCCAUUGGUAGACCCACCAACUCGAAAGUAAGGUACUCCACCUUCGUGCUCACAAGCAAGCCAUCGACCUCAUUUGUAGUGCGAACAAGGCCGGUGUAAACCAGAGUCUCACCUUUCAGCUCUCAAAUUGCCUUACACUGACCAUCCUCAAGAAACUCUAUCUUGCUGUGGCUAAUAGGACCUUCUGGCAACAUCUGCAGCAAACAUCAAACAUUUAUACGUACACAAAUUUUCCAUGUAAUUCAGAAUAGGAGACAAAAAUAUCUUAUACAUAAACUUCAUAAGAUUCACACAACACA
rnacentral:lncRNA from 1 species